GACUGAUUAGGUAGCAGAAUUAAAAUAUAUGGUGGUGGCACUAUAUAUUUUAAUUGUUACCUAAUAUAUUAAUAAGCGUUACCCACUACACAUUAGUAGUUUUUUUCUCUAUUUUUUUUUUUUUUUUUUUUUUAAUUUAAUUAUUUUCAAAAGUUGACUUGUUACUCAUGAAAAUUAGAUUUCUGUGAGGUCAUUUUCAGUCCCAGGAAAUCGCGAGAAUGCAGGAUUUUGCACCAUUUACUCUAGAGCUUCUGGGGGCCUUGAGCGGCCUCCAGACCCCUCGCCGUAUGACUUCGUUCCCCGGCAUUGCGUACACAUCAUUUUGGCCUAGCUACGCCCCUG
rnacentral:lncRNA from 1 species